rnacentral:rRNA from 1 species
GGCCCCCCGCUAGAGUUUUUAUCCUGGCUCAGGAUGAACGCUAGCGGGAGGCCUAACACAUGCAAGCCGAGCGGUAUUUGUUCUUCGGGACAGAGAGAGCGGCGUACGGGUGCGGAACACGUGUGCAACCUACCUUUAUCAGGGGGAUAGCCUUUCGAAAGGAAGAUUAAUACCCCAUAAUAUAUUGACUGGCAUCAGUUAGUAUUGAAAACUCCGGUGGAUAGAGAUGGGCACGCGCAAGAUUAGAUAGUUGGUAGGGUAACGGCCUACCAAGUCAGUGAUCUUUAGGGGGCCUGAGAGGGUGAUCCCCCACACUGGUACUGAGACACGGACCAGACUCCUACGGGAGGCAGCAGUGAGGAAUAUUGGACAAUGGGUGAAAGCCUGAUCCAGCCAUCCCGCGUGAAGGACGACGGUUCUAUGGAUUGUAAACUUCUUUUAUAUAGGGAUAAACCUCUUUACGUGUAAAGAGCUGAAGGUACUAUAUGAAUAAGCACCGGCUAACUCCGUGCCAGCAGCCGCGGUAAUACGGAGGGUGCAAGCGUUAUCCGGAUUUAUUGGGUUUAAAGGGUCCGUAGGCGGAUCUGUAAGUCAGUGGUGAAAUCUCAUAGCUUAACUAUGAAACUGCCAUUGAUACUGCAGGUCUUGAGUAAAGUAGAAGUGGCUGGAAUAAGUAGUGUAGCGGUGAAAUGCAUAGAUAUUACUUAGAACACCAAUUGCGAAGGCAGGUCACUAUGUUUUAACUGACGCUGAUGGACGAAAGCGUGGGGAGCGAACAGGAUUAGAUACCCUGGUAGUCCACGCCGUAAACGAUGCUAACUCGUUUUUGGGACUUCGGUUUCAGAGACUAAGCGAAAGUGAUAAGUUAGCCACCUGGGGAGUACGUUCGCAAGAAUGAAACUCAAAGGAAUUGACGGGGGCCCGCACAAGCGGUGGAUUAUGUGGUUUAAUUCGAUGAUACGCGAGGAACCUUACCAAGGCUUAAAUGGGAAUUGACAGGUUUAGAAAUAGACUUUUCUUCGGACAAUUUUCAAGGUGCUGCAUGGUUGUCGUCAGCUCGUGCCGUGAGGUGUUAGGUUAAGUCCUGCAACGAGCGCAACCCCUGUCACUAGUUGCCAUCAUUCAGUUGGGGACUCUAGUGAGACUGCCUACGCAAGUAGAGAGGAAGGUGGGGAUGACGUCAAAUCAUCACGGCCCUUACGCCUUGGGCCACACACGUAAUACAAUGGCCAGUACAGAGGGCAGCUACCUAGCGAUAGGAUGCGAAUCUCGAAAGCUGGUCUCAGUUCGGAUUGGAGUCUGCAACUCGACUCUAUGAAGCUGGAAUCGCUAGUAAUCGCGCAUCAGCCAUGGCGCGGUGAAUACGUUCCCGGGCCUUGUACACACCGCCCGUCAAGCCAUGGAAGUUUGGGGUACCUGAAGUCGGUGACCGUAAAAGGAGCUGCAUAGGGUAAAACAAGUACCUA